CCAACCAUUGCAAUUUGCUUAGAAAUCCAUGAGAAAAUAUCACAACUUGGUUUAGGGAAAAUUAGUACAUAAUGGUGUAGUCCAUCUAAAAUAACCGAUCCAAGAACUAAUUACAAAUUACAACACCACAAGGAUGGACUGAACACCAGAGUUCAUUGUAAUAGUUGGAUAGUGCAGGUAGCACUCACAGUUUACUAAUUUUUAACGGCUGUUUACUCAAGUGAUCAAGAGCUCAGACGCUGCUCUGUGACAUCAGAUCACCAUAGAUUCCAUAGCCUCUGUAAGCUUCACGGUCCUCUCAUUCACCUGAAAUAACAUGGGAAGUUAUUUAUGUUUUAAUAUUACUAACCAAGAGAUGGUUAACAAUUAAGUUCUGAAUUUGGAGACCCACUGCCUCCUCCCACAAAUUAAAAGGACUUACUGCCUCCUCCCACAAAUUAAAAGGACAUACGGGCAUGUCCAUCUUUUCUCAAGCCAACCUGUUCCAUCAAGUGUUUGUCUGCCUGCAAUUUUCAUUCCUUGUAGUAGCAAGGAUCCGCAGGGGAGGCCCACACCCAUGUAUGUAAUGUAGUACUCGGUCACUCUGAAGAGCUGAAGUCAGUCCAAUCCAAAGCCCGUAUAAGGGUAGCUGUGCCAACAUCAGUGAAGUGCUACCAUUUGAACAGAUCGGCGCGCCACCAUUUUGAUCUGUUAUGAUCAGAAGUAUUUAAUCUCUUUGUACAUAACGUUUAAUUUUCUUGAUACCUGGAGAAGAAUACCAAUAAACUCAAGGAUCGUACAUCAUGUACAAAGUUGCCAAUAUCAAUAGUUAGUACUGCUAUAUCAUCUGCUUUAUUCUUUCCUUUUUGCAUGAUGGGCUUAUACUUCGGAUGAAGAAUGUCAAUUAUGAAGAUCACUUACUGCGGAC
rnacentral:lncRNA from 1 species